rnacentral:rRNA from 1 species
UUGACCUCGGAUCAGGUAGGAAUACCCGCUGAACUUAAGCAUAUCAAUAAGCGGAGGAAAAGAAACCAACAGGGAUUGCCCUAGUAACGGCGAGUGAAGCGGCAACAGCUCAAAUUUGAAAUCUGGCCCUCGGGUCCGAGUUGUAAUUUGUAGAGGAUGCUUUUGGCGCGGUGCCUUCCGAGUUCCCUGGAACGGGACGCCUUAGAGGGUGAGAGCCCCGUACGGUUGGACACCAAGCCUCUGUAAAGCUCCUUCGACGAGUCGAGUAGUUUGGGAAUGCUGCUCUAAAUGGGAGGUAAAUUUCUUCUAAAGCUAAAUAUUGGCCAGAGACCGAUAGCGCACAAGUAGAGUGAUCGAAAGAUGAAAAGCACUUUGAAAAGAGGGUUAAAUAGCACGUGAAAUUGUUGAAAGGGAAGCGUUUGCGACCAGACCUUUUCCUGGCGGAUCAUCCGGUGUUCUCACCGGUGCACUUCGCCAGGUUGAGGCCAGCAUCGGUUUCUGCAGGGGGAUAAAAGCCUUGGGAAUGUAGCUCCUUCGGGAGUGUUAUAGCCCCUGGCAUAAUACCCUUGCGGGGACCGAGGACCGCGCUUCGGCAAGGAUGCUGGCGUAAUGGUCGUCAACGACCCGUCUUGAAACACGGACCAAGGAGUCGAACAUUUGUGCGAGUGUUUGGGUGUUAAACCCUCACGCGUAAUGAAAGUGAACGGAGGUGAGAGCCCUUUUGGGUGCAUCAUCGACCGAUCCUGAUGUCUUCGGAUGGAUUUGAGUAAGAGCAUAACUGUUCGGACCCGAAAGAUGGUGAACUAUGCGUGGAUAGGGUGAAGCCAGAGGAAACUCUGGUGGAGGCUCGCAGCGGUUCUGACGUGCAAAUCGAUCGUCAAAUCUGCGCAUGGGGGCGAAAGACUUAUCGAACCAUCUAGUAGCUGGUUACCGCCGAAGUUUCCCUCAGGAUAGCAGUGUUGUUCUUCAGUUUUAUGAGGUAAAGCGAAUGAUUAGGGACUCGGGGGCGCUAUUUAGCCUUCAUCCAUUCUCAAACUUUAAAUAUGUAAGAAGCCCUUGUUACUUAGUUGAACGUGGGCAUUCGAAUGUACCAACACUAGUGGGCCAUUUUUGGUAAGCAGAACUGGCGAUGCGGGAUGAACCGAACGCGGGGUUAAGGUGCCGGAGUGGACGCUCAUCAGACACCACAAAAGGUGUUAGCACAUUUAGACAAUAGGACGGUGGCCAUGGAAGUCGGAAUCCGCUAAGGACUGUGUAACAACUCACCUAUCGAAUGUGCUAGCCCUGAAAAUGGAUGGCGCUCAAGCGUCCCACCCAUACCUCGCCCUCAGGGUAGAAACGAUGCCCUGAGGAGUAGGCGGCCGUGGGGGUCAGUGACGAAGCCUAGGGCGUGAGCCCGGGUCGAACGGCCUCUAGUGCAGAUCUUGGUGGUAGUA